GAUGAACGCUGGCGGCGUGCCUAACACAUGCAAGUCGAGCGGCAGCGAAGGGUGCUUGCACCCUGUCGGCGAGCGGCGGACGGCUGAGUAACGCGUGGGAACGUGCCCCAAAGUGAGGAAUAACUGCCCGAAAGGGUAGCUAAUACCGCAUAUUAUCUUCGGAUCAAAGGAUUUAUCCGCUUUGGGAGCGGCCCGCGUCGGAUUAGGUAGUUGGUGAGGUAAUGGCUCACCAAGCCGACGAUCCGUAGCUGGUCUGAGAGGAUGACCAGCCAGACUGGAACUGAGACACGGUCCAGACUCCUACGGGAGGCAGCAGUGAGGAAUCUUCCACAAUGGGCGAAAGCCUGAUGGAGCAACGCCGCGUGCAGGACGAAGGCCUUCGGGUUGUAAACUGCUUUUAUAAGUGAGGAAUAUGACGGUAACUUAUGAAUAAGGAUCGGCUAACUACGUGCCAGCAGCCGCGGUCAUACGUAGGAUCCGAGCGUUAUCCGGAGUGACUGGGCGUAAAGAGUUGCGUAGGCGGUUGUAUAAGUGAAUAGUGAAAUCUGGUGGCUCAACCAUACAGGCUAUUGUUCAAACUGUACAACUUGAGAGUGGUAGAGGUCACUGGAAUUUCUUGUGUAGGAGUGAAAUCCGUAGAUAUAAGAAGGAACACCAAUGGCGUAGGCAGGUGACUGGACCAUUUCUGACGCUAAGGCACGAAAGCGUGGGGAGCGAACCGGAUUAGAUACCCGGGUAGUCCACGCCGUAAACGAUGGAUACUGGCUGUUGGAGGUAUCGACCCCUUCAGUAGCGAAGCUAACGCGUUAAGUAUCCCGCCUGUGGAGUACGGCCGCAAGGCUAAAACAUAAAGGAAUGACGGGGACCCGCACAAGCGGUGGAUCGUGUUCUUUAAUUCGAUGCUAAACGAAGAACCUUACCAGGGCUUGACAUCCAG
rnacentral:rRNA from 1 species